rnacentral:rRNA from 1 species
UACGUAGGUGGCAAGCGUUAUCCGGAAUUACUGGGCGUAAAGCGCACGCAGGUGGCUGCUUAAGUCUGACGUGAAAGCUCCUGGCUUUAACUGGGAGAGGUCGUUGGAGACUGGGCGGCUUGAGGCGAGGAGAGGGGUGUAGAAUUCCCGGUGUAGUGGUGGAAUGCGUAGAGAUCGGGGAGGAAUACCAGUGGCGCAAGCGGCACCCU